rnacentral:rRNA from 1 species
UGAAACCGUUCAGGGGUAAACCUGAGAAACCCGAAAGGUCGAAAGGGGAAAUUCAUUCGCGUCUCGGCCGUCGGCGGCGGGUGGUGUGCGAGACUGGCGGCGUCCGCGUCGUCCAGCUCCCUCCGUCCGUCGAACUGGCGUCGAACGCGUGCACUUUUCCCCUAGUAGGACGUCGCGAUCCGUUGGGCGUCGGUCUAAGGCCCGUGGAGGAGCCCGUUCGGGGACGGUCUCAACCCCGUUCCCGAGCGGACCCACGGUGUCCCGGCCGGCUCGCUCGACGGUAUCCAGAUGGUGCGGGGCCGCCACUUUCACAGUUGGCAUCCGGCCCGCGGCAAGCGCGCCCGGUGCGUCGGCGAUCGGACCUAGCGCCGAUCCUGGCCCCGGGCGACUGUUGGCCGUGGUGUUCUCGGACAGACCCCGUUGAGACACCGAUCUGCGACGCUAUAGCUUUGGGUACUUUCAGGACCCGUCUUGAA